rnacentral:tRNA from 1 species
GUUCCUGUAGUUAAAGUGUUAAUAACAAUGGCUUUUCAGGCCAUUAUUCCUAGAUAAAAGCUGGGCAGGAAUU